UACGGAGGAUGCGAGCGUUAUCCGGAUUUAUUGGGUUUAAAGGGUGCGUAGGCGGUUUUUUAAGUUAGUGGUUAAACGUCGGGGCUUCACCUUGAUUUGCCAUUAAUACUGUAAGACUCGAGUUCAGACGAGGUAGGCGGAAUAAGUUAAGUAGCGGUGAAAUGCAUAGAUAUAACUUAGAACACCGAUAGCGAAGGCAGCUUACCAGACUGAGUCUGACGCUGAUGCACGAAAGCGUGGGUAUCAAACAGG
rnacentral:rRNA from 1 species